UACGUAGGGGGCAAGCGUUGUCCGGAAUCAUUGGGCGUAAAGCGCAUGUAGGCGGUCUAUCAAGUCAGGUGUGAAAUCCCUGGGACUCAACCCAGGACGUGGCACUUUGAUACUGGUGGGCUUGAAUAUAGGGAGAAGGGAAGUAAGUGGAAUUCCUGGUGUAGUGGUGAAAAUACGUAGAUAUCGAGGAGGAACACCGGUGGCGAAGGCGGCUAUCUGGCCUAAUAUUGACGCUGAGAUGGCGAAAGCGUGGGGAUCAAACAGG
rnacentral:rRNA from 1 species